rnacentral:rRNA from 1 species
AGAGAUGUGUGAUGACGCAUAUCAAUAAGCGGAGGAAAAGAAACUAACAAGGAUUCCCUUAGUAACGGCGAGUGAAGCGGGAAGAGCUCAAAUUUGAAAUCUUCAAGGUUCUACCUUGACGAAUUGUAGUUUAUAGAAGUGUUUUCUGUUAGAGGAGGUGGUAAAAGUUCCUUGGAAUAGGACAUCAUAGAGGGUGAGAAUCCCGUAUUUGAUCACUUUCUACUAACGUUGUGAUACACUUUCAAAGAGUCGGAUUGUUUGGGAAUGCAGUCCAAAAUGGGUGGUAAAUUUCAUCUAAAGCUAAAUAUUGGCGAGAGACCGAUAGCGAACAAGUACCGUGAGGGAAAGAUGAAAAGAACUUUGAAAAGAGAGUUAAACAGUACGUGAAAUUGUCAAAAGGGAAGCGUUUGACACCAGUGUUGUUUAGUUGAAAAUCAAUUCAAUAAUUUUUGAUUUUAAGUAGUAUUGACUUCAUCAGCUUGCUGCUUUCUUUUCAGGAAUUAUUGAAUGCACUUUUCAGUUAACAAGUCAACAUCAAUUUCUUUUGUUGUAAAAGGGUAAGAGGAAGGUGGCUACGUUUCGGCGUAAGUGUUUAUAGCCUUUUACCUCUGCAAUCGGAGAGAUUGAGGCCAGCAGCGUAGACUCCUUCUGGGGUUAGAUACACUUGUGCUAAGCUAUAGCCUUGUAUAGACAACUUGUUGACUAUGCUCAGUCAUGUAGCUUACUCGCUUGUGCUAUUUUACCUACGCUUAGGAUGUUGACGCAUGAGAUAUACGC